rnacentral:sRNA from 1 species
CGACCGCUGCUUUUGCAGCCGAGGCCAGACGGACAGCCGGGUCGAAUGCCGA